AGAGCGCGAGCAGCGGUGCUUGCGAGCCGUGGAGGAGCUUUGAGUACAAGCAUUGGCCGCUUACACUGCCGCUCAACUGUUUGCGCCCUUCUGGCGUGAACAUUGUCCUCCCCCUUGCGUAGGCAAAGGUAUCCCUGGCCGGCUAGACAGCAGGAUCGGCCUCUUCAUUCCGUGCACGCUCCAGAAACGGUCCAUCCGAACACCAAGGAAACCGAGGUCGGCUAAUUGACCGAUGCCUCAAUCCUCCGCAGCCUUGCGAACAUGGGUCAAUUGACAGACCUGGACACAUCGAACGAGAAGGGAUCCGAUACAACCGUGGUGGAGAGUCCCACAGCAGAUGUCCGGGAAGCUUCUGCAGAUAAACCUCCACCACAGUAAGGCAGAUUCCGCUGCUCUUCAACUCCAUCUGGCUGAAGAUGGAGUCACCAUAGUCCUAAUCCAGGAACCUUGAACAGUGGGAGGAAAGGUUUCAGGCUUAGGGACUAAGGAAUAUAAGCUUCUAACAGCUCCCAGCGAAGCGAUGCAGAUAACACGGCAGUCACCGUGGAGAGUCAGCCAUCUCCGUUACGAGUGCUGUCAUCGUACAUGACCUAUGAAAGGCAAGAACCGGUGGAUGAGCUGGUAAGAAGACUGGUGCAAGACAGCGUAAAGCAGAACAUAGGCCUCUUAUGUUCGCUGCGACGCAAACGCCCAUCACACAAAAUGGGAAAGUACAAACACAAACGACCGCGUCUGUAAAGUCGUGGGAUGGUUCAAAGGCGGCAUCAAGAUAAUCGCCUGUGACGAUGAACGCUCUGCGGAGCUAUACAAAGCCGCAUUAAAAGAGUUGGGGGAGGUGUAUGAGGGCGCCGGACUUGUUGCGCUGAGCUGGUCCGACGUACCUUGCCGACCCCGGGCAAGCAUCUGGAUCCCGGCAUCCAUCAAGGCGCCGGACCAGAUCCUUACCAUGCUGCAGCGCUGCAACCCGCACCUUCCCACCUCGGACUGGCGAGUGGUGAAGGUCGACGAAUUGGAGGGACCAACAAACCAGGCCAUCCUUAUUCUAAACAACGAGUCCCUAGCUCCCAUUGAGGCCGCUCACGGGGAGCUAAACUUCGGGUUUAGCUCAGUGACCGUAAAGGUCUGCAAAUCAGACUCCGCCAAGGAGGAUUAGGAAGGCAGUGGAGGAGUGAUCGAGGAGAUCGCCUCCGAGAUCGAGGCAUCGGAAACCGAGGUCGGCUACUCGACCGAUGCCUCAAUCCUCCGCAGCCUUGCGAACAUGGGUCAAUUGACAGACCUGGACACAUCGAACGAGAAGGGAGCCGAUACAACCGUGGUGGAGAGGCCCACAGCAGAUGUCCGGGAGGCUUCUGCAGAUAAACCUCCACCACAGUAAGGCAGAUUCCGCUGCUCUUCAACUCCAUCUGGCUGAAGAUGGAGUCACCAUAGUCCUAAUCCAGGAACCUUGAACAGUGGGAGGAAAGGUUUCAGGCUUAGGGACUAAGGAAUAUAAGCUUCUAACAGCUCCCAGCGAAGCGAUGCAGAUAACACGGCAGUCACCGUGGAGAGUCAGCCAUCUCCGUUACGAGUGCUGUCAUCGUACAUGACCUAUGAAAGGCAAGAACCGGUGGAUGAGCUGGUAAGAAGACUGGUGCAAGACAGCGAAAAGCAGAACAUAGGCCUCUUAUGUUCGCUGCGACGCAAACGCCCAUCACACAAAAUGGGAAAGUACAAACACAAACGACCGCGAUCAGGCCUUCGCGCCGUUUACGUGCGAUCCACAGAUAAGAACUUUUGGCAGCUUGCGGUUCCUGUCGGCAGCGCCUAUGCCUAAAUGCACAUAGGUAUGCAUAUGUGUGUAGCCGCAGCGCCUGUACUUAUGCCUGCACGUGUGUAUAUGCGUGUACACCGCGUGUCUUGGAGGUACGUGGGCGUGCUAUAGUGCUAGCCGACAAUACCUUUAUUCUGCCUGGAAACUACACUAUGCACUCCGUAAAAAUCAGCAAUCAAAGAGCUGCGAUUUCCAUGCUCUUUACGCACUUCUGUACGCCCUCGAAACUUGGUUCCACUGUCUUAUUCUUAGCCGUGUUCGUAUAAGUUUUUUUAUAACUUUUAAUACACUUAGUUGGCCACUUGAUAAUUUUAAGACUGCACGUGGGUUUUUUUCUCACUUUUAUUGUCUGUUCUUUUCACAAGUUACGUCUGUCGUCUCGGAGUAGAAAAUCAGAAUGAUCGCGUGUUCGCUGUACCUUUUGUCAAAGGCGCGAGCCUAGCGAGCUUUAACGGGACCUUUCCAGGCUAUGAGAGCGACGACUAAGGUGCGAAAGGGACAACUAGAACUAACAGCUUCUGUCUUUGAGAGUUGUUGUGAGCUUUCAAUUAACCCUAGUAUGCCGAAAAGUGGUCUCGUCUAGAUUUGUACCGAUGAUAAUAAUUUUGGUUUAAUUUUUUUUCUCUGCCUAUUUUCUGGUACACUGGCCGCUACAAGUCCCCAACUUCUGCAACCGAAAACUCGCGUAAAUGGUUCAGAAUAGGGGUAUGACUUUGAGUUCACUUUUGUGUUUCAUCCUUUUAAAAUCGUAGGUCCUUUGUGUUGUCAUUAGAAUUUUUUAUUUUUGUAAUUACUUAAAUCAAAAAUAUGGGAGAUUUAUUUGUUAUAACAUCAAACAACUAGGUGCCGAUUGACGUUUUUUUGUAAUUAACGUAAAUUUAUUUUGUGGGUGGCUCACGCUUUCAACGUAUUAGGCCAAGUAGGCAGGUCGCUUAAAAGGCUCCAGUCUUUAAGGCUUUCCAUGACUAAUUUUGGGCGAGGGACGACUUUAGUUUCUUUGGGUCACGCUGCCGACGUACUAGGCCAAGUAGCCAGGUCGUUUGUAAGGAUCGUGGCUAGGGAAAUAUAAAAACUGUUGUGGAUUCCGAACGUAUAGGUCAAGCUACCGCGGGUGGUGGAUUCCGAACGUAUCGGUUAAAUAGCAGCAAGUUGUAGAGUCCGCAAUUAUAAUUCAAACAGCACUUUUUUCCGACUAUUGGCGGAAGGGGUUUUCGGACAUACACUUUCUUAGGUGGACCAGUUCACAUAUGGAACCAUCGUAAAAUCCCCCCAGGAAAAGGUGGGCCAGUUCACAUAUGGAACCUCGUAAAAGCUCACCAGGAAUAAAAAAGAGGGCCAUUUCACGUACGGAACCACGUAAAAUCUCCCCAGGAAAAGGUGGGCCAGUUUACGUACGGAACCUAGUAAAAGUUCCCUAAGCAGUGGAAGACGGAAGCAUUUUGGCGGGAUGUAAACAAGAAGAAAGCCGUGCAAAGCGAAAUGCAAGUACGGGAGACACGCCCCGACUAUGUGAGGCACUUAAUCAAGAGAGUCUUGAAAAUUUCGAAAACCAGCCGAAGGAGAUGGGCAAAACAAUGGAUGAAGCAGCCGGAGGGAUGGAUUUACUACUAGGACCUCCUAGGGGUCGCUCCAGCAUGCUUCCUCGUUACCUGGCAAGUUCGGAAGACCGGUCGGAUGCUGCCGAUGGGCGGGAAAAAGAACUGAUGGAUUUAGUGAGACAAAGUGGAGAUACGCAAUUGGAAAUGGGUGCUCAAAUGAACGCUCUAAAGAAGAAAGUGGCUAACGCGUCGAGAUCUCAUCGCUCCGUAUUAAAGUUGGGUGUACCAUUUCACCCUUUUUUCCGCGUCAUUGGUUACAUUUAGAUUUUUUCUGUAUUUUCCUUUCACACUGUUCUCGUUGUGGGUUUAGUUGUCUUUAUCACUCUGAUUUUCCUUUGCAAUCACUGGUUCAAAACACUUUAGUUUUUUUUUAAUUGACAUGAGUCAAUUUCGCACCACAUUAUAUUGUUUUGUUUACACUAUCUUCGUUAAUUUCGUCAAUUUAUUACUGUAUGGAAGAGUUUGGAGACUCUGAACCUGGAGAAAGAGAGUUGGGUGACUCUGAACCUGGAGAAAGAGAGUGUGGAGAGUCUGAACCUGUAGAGAGAGAGUUUAGAGAGACAGAAGGUUUGAAGGAGAUAUCCGGAGAUUGGAGACUAGAAGGAUAAACCGUUAAAGGAGGCCUAUAUAAGCCGGCUGAACGCUGGAAGCUGGAGAAGUCAAGGAGAACGAGUACACAAGUCAACAACGCGAAGAAACGAAGUCAGCAGCGUUGCUAGAGCUGUCAGACAGGAACAAAAUCGCUACGACAAGACGUUCGGGAGCAUUCCACAGCCGGGGCCGAACCAAGAAGGGUACCGAACAGGCGACAGAAAUUGUGGUGUAGACCCGGUCAACUCUGUCGGAGACCGCGUACUUGAACCCGGCGAUAGCCUGCUGUGUCCGUGCGAUCCGAGCAGACGUGGUACCGUCGCCAACAGUCCGAGCUUAUUUUAGCUUAUUGCUGUUCCACCAGGCGUUUGUCUUGGGGCUGCCGUGAGUUCGCGUACGACGACAAUUCUCAGCCCAAGUGACGGGCACCCAACGACACGGUCCGCACCACUCAGGACGACGAGAGCGGCGAGAUAGCAGAGCGAGGCCGCUGAGCAGACCAUCCAGCAGUCUGCAAGUGUCGUUACUGGUAAGCGGGUGAUCACGUUUUAACAUAUAUAUUGUAGGACGAACAAACAAAAUAUACUGAGCUAGCCGCACGUAUUCCGUAGCGAGCAGACUUAUAAUCUCAGUUCCUUACAAAAUGACAAAAUGCUCUGAGUUAUGUUAUGCUAAAAAAUGUCGAACUUUCCAAUGGAAAUGUUAGAUUGCACCUGGCAACACUAAAUGUUGGUCAGAAAUAUAUAUAGCAGCCCUCGUACGGCCAAUGUGGCCAAUAAUGUUAAGUUAGUCGACCAUACAGAAGAUAUUCAGACACUGUGGUUUUAACAAUAAUAACAGUCGCUCAGUUUAUAUUACCACUAUAUUUUAAGCAUAAUAAAAUUAUUAAGAAGCGUUAUAUAAGCAGAGCGAAUAACUUGGAUAAAACCUAAAAACAUAUGAAAAUAAAUUUAUUUUUGUUAAAGAACAAAUAAAAGAUAUAUUAGAUAUCAUGAAUUAAUAAUGAAAAAACAACAAUAAAAAAA